CUUUGUUUGUGUAUCCUGCAUUUGGUGUAAACAGCUUAGAUGCAAGAAUGUAGAACAUUCGGUAGCAAACUCCUGCCCUCCAGGGUUCCUCCAUUGUGCUCCCCUCGCUCGGACAUGGUGAACGGGUGGCGGUAGCAUGGGCGCUACUGCAACAAAUGGAGGUCCCACUGAGAUACUACCGAGAUCCGAGAAAGAAGGGACAAGCUGAUGGACAUCCUUGGAAGGCUGGCCAGUAAUUUAAAGAAAAAAAGAAAAGGACAAUGAGGUGCCUCUUUGGGUUCCUGAGCGAUGCAUGUGCCCUGUGGCUGCUGCUGAAUCCCAACAUGGCAGAGAACUAUUGGGCCUUCGUGAAAAACUCUCCCCUUUUGAUGCCAAUGGGGAUUGAGAGCCCAAUAUGGCCAGCCUUGGCAAGCAUUAACAUAAGCCUAGGAACUGUAGCCAUUCAGUUGCAUUCUUCAGAAGAGCUGCCAGUUUAAGUCGUGCUGGGAUCAAGAAAAAUGGGCCUUGGUGGUUCAUGUUCCUGGAGCUGUGUCCAUGCCAGUGGACCAUGGCAGUUAGACACAGAUGAUGCUCACACGCUCCAGAAGAGAAUCUGACAUCGCUGUUGCCGUUGUUGCUGUUAUAGCAGUGGUGGCCACCACUGCUACUGUUUCUGGGAUUGCUAUUUCAUAAUUGGUUACUACAGCUAGCACAGUGGAGACCCUGGCAGCAAAAGUAGCUACCACAGUUAGUUAAUCUUUCAUUCUAUUGGGCAUGAUAAAUUUAAUUCAACAGUUAUAUACAUUUCAAUUGGCUUUGAAAGAUGUAAAAUUUAUAAAACUCAAGUUCCACUUGCCUGUGGGAUACCACCUAUUGAGGACUCCAACUUGCAGUAAGGCUCUUUUAGGAAGGGAAUGGCUCAUUUGCUUUUAGCCUACUGGCUUAUGGGUGGGUUAGGACUUCUGUUGGUCUUUUCUGUGUUGCACAGAUUGUAAGCCCAGUGCCACUUUGAGAUCUUUGGCAGCAGUUAACUCUACAGUUCACAUGGUUGAGUCUGUAUGAUAAUGAGUAUUCAGAGAUGGGUAAUACCUGGGGGGCAGUCAUCAACCUAAGCCAGAGCGCCUGGUGGCCUGGGCAGGUGUGUCCAUGAUGGGUAAGGUGACCUGCUGACAUCCUAGGCAACCUAAGUCAGAAGCUCAUUUUUUAGUAAAAAGGGGGGACCUGUGGGCCAUAUCGAGUAAACUGUUGUCUGCUUGCCAACCUUGACCAGAUGUCCUCCCUAUGCUGAUUCCCUGCUGAUUUCCUUCUUCCUGAAUGAUCACCAGAGGUUCUUUGUUUGUGUAUCCUGCAUUUGGUGUAAACAGUUUAGAUGCAAGAAUGUAGAACAUUCGGUAGCAAACUUCUGCCCUCCGGGGUUCCUCCAUUGUGCUGUAAGCCUGUAUUUAAGGUUUCCUCCCUCUUUCAAUAAAGGCAUUUGGCAUUCUGCUGGGGCGAA